rnacentral:rRNA from 1 species
GUGAACGCUGGCGGUAGGCCUAACACAUGCAAGUCGAACGGCAGCACAGUAAGAGCUUGCUCUUACGGGUGGCGAGUGGCGGACGGGUGAGGAAUACAUCGGAAUCUACUUUUUCGUGGGGGAUAACGUAGGGAAACUUACGCUAAUACCGCAUACGACCUACGGGUGAAAGCAGGGGAUCUUCGGACCUUGCGCGAUUGAAUGAGCCGAUGUCGGAUUAGUUAGUUGGCGGGGUAAAGGCCCACCAAGGCGACGAUCCGUAGCUGGUCUGAGAGGAUGAUCAGCCACACUGGAACUGAGACACGGUCCAGACUCCUACGGGAGGCAGCAGUGGGGAAUAUUGGACAAUGGGCGCAAGCCUGAUCCAGCCAUACCGCGUGGGUGAAGAAGGCCUUCGGGUUGUAAAGCCCUUUUGUUGGGAAAGAAAAGCAGCAGGUUAAUACCCCGCUGUUCUGACGGUACCCAAAGAAUAAGCACCGGCUAACUUCGUG